rnacentral:misc_RNA from 1 species
GAUGAAGAACGUAGUGAAAUGCGAUAAGUAGUGUGAAUUGCAGAAUUCAGUGAAUCAUCGAAUCUUUGAACGCACAUUGCGGCCAUAGGUAUUCCUUUGGCCAUGCCUGUUCGAGCGUCAUUUACACCCUCAAGCCUAGCUUGGUGUUGGGCGCCUGUCCCGCCGUUUUCGCGCGCGGACUCGCCUCAAAGUCAUUGGCGGCGGUCGUGCCGGCCCCCUCGCGCAGCACAUUUGCGCUUCUCGGAGGCCCGGCGGAUCCGCGCUCCAGCAAGACCUUUCACGACUUGACCUCGGAUCAGGAAGGGAUACCCGCUGAACUUAAGCAUAUCAAUAAGCGGAGGA